AAACAGCCAAUCACAAGACGUUAUAACUCUGAUUGUAAAGUAACAACGACCACAAUAUAUUAAUCCGAUAAUAUUUUACUCAAUAAAAAUUAAAAAUACUAUCAAUGGUCAUUGGGUCAAUACUGAGUCUGAUACAUACGUUAAAGAACUAAUUUUGGAUCUACCGAAAAUCGUGAAAUACUGAAACAUUUUAUCAAGAAAUAACAUCAUAGAAUAAUAGCUAAAAUCAUGAACCAUAGAAGAGAAGAAAAAAGAGAAUACUUGGAGUUUCCAGAAGGUGAUGUCACUGUGGCAUAGAGCUGUACAAAUGAUUCGGAUCCGAACCUCGUGAGGCUGCGGCGGCGCAACCAGGAUUUCUUCCAUCACUAGUGGCUCUCCGGCCUUCCUACAAACCGCCGCUGCCAUAGAAACAUAAAAGUCAACGCUAGUCAAUGAACGACACUUAUAGAUAGAGGGCCUUUCUUUCCUCUACACUAACCUUUGCAACGGAUCGGUUUAAGUGAAGACUUGUCGCCGGAGGACUUGUUGUUUUCCAUCUCUCUUCCUAGUUUUGCAGCUUUGGCCUUUGUGAGUCUAGUGCGUUGCUGUAUUAUGUCUGUAUAUAAACUUGUUCUCUAGAUUUAUUACCAUUUUUGUCGUUGUAAUAUUUAAUACAUUUCUUUUCUGUUUGUGUU